rnacentral:rRNA from 1 species
ACGUAGGGGGCAAGCGUUGUCCGGAAUUAUUGGGCGUAAAGGGUGCGUAGGCGGCCGAUCAAGUCAGGUGUGAAAGACCCGUGCUUAACAUGGGGGUUGCACUUGAAACUGGUUGGCUUGAGUAUGGGAGAGGCAAGCGGAAUUCCCGGUGUAGCGGUGAAAUGCGUAGAGAUCGGGAGGAACACCAGUGGCGAAGGCGGCUUGCUGGACCAAAACUGACGCUGAGGCACGAAAGCGUGGGUAGCAAACAG